AACACCUGAAUCUCAUUAACCUUUACAGAAUUGAACUAUUUUCUUAAUUUGAGCGUUUGUAAAGUCUGUCAUUCAGAAACUGUAACUGUCUUUGUCUUUCUUCAUAUAUUAAUAUUUGUUUAAAAAGAAGAUAAAAAUGAAUGAACCUUUUAAUAAAUAUUAUUUCUGUAAGAAGGGAAAGCAAAUAGUAUGUAGGGCCUGUACGAAACCAUUCACAACACCCCAGCUGUCAAUCACUUGUUAUCUAAACCAUUCUGUAUUUAGCUUAAUGCAUUCUCUGCUUACAGUAUGAAGAAUUCCCCAAAAUCUCCCAAAAGAAACAACACAGUUUACAUUUCCCUAAAACACCCUUAUCUGCUGGUAAGGCAUCAAAUGCCGGCUGGUUGACAUCAAGGAAGUUCCUACAUCAGAAACCGACACACGAAUAGCUUCAGGGUUUGUGUUUUCUGUGACGGCUGAUGAAACGCCACCAGCAGCAGGUUUCUGAGAAUACGUGGGCACCUGCUGAUAGGCAUCGCUUCCCAAGCACACAGACCUCAACCCACAAGAUCUCAAGCCUGAAGUUUCUCUUUCAUUGUGAGUCUGUGGGAUUUUUUCUCGUGUUAUCAUCUGCCAGGUGAAAAUUGUAGGAUUAUUACAAAAGUUACACGCUGAAGCUUGAAUGAGGGUUUAAAGUUUAACCGUGAGCAACAGUACAUCCUCCAUCAUCGAAGGUCUCGUGUUUUCUUCAGGCCGAGCUUCACGCUUGAGUUUACACAGAAUCACACAUCAGACAUACCAGAUGAUAUAACUAUAGUAUAAAAGAUUAUUGAUGAAGACCUCAGACACAUUUAGAUUUAGUCUUGGGGUGCCUGGGCCCUAUAAACUCCAGCAGAACAGCCCUCGGCUGGCGUAUUUAUUCCUCCUAUGUUUAUAAUUAAAGAGGAGCUUUAUUGGCAGUUGGCUUUCGUUCUGUUUCUUAUUGGAAGAGAUUCAAAGUGAAAUCAGCAGUUUGAGAGUUUGAUUGACAGGUCAAUGGAGCUGACAGCACAUUUCUAUCUCACAUCUCGAGGAGUCUCUGACAGACGACAACAUUAUAAAAACUCAACAUCCUUCGUCUCUGCUCGUCCACGACCUCAGAUGAUCCCUCUACAAACACUCGCUUCACUUUCUAAUUCAUCUGUUAUGAAACAUGAAGGAAGUUUUUUCUCGCAUGAUUUUGGCACUUAUUUUAAUUGCUAGAGUUUUAAUGUUUGUGUGAAUACAAGCCAGAACAGACAGAGAUGAGGAAGAAGAGAGAUGAUGAGAAUCUGUGCGCCGUCUGUGGCUCUCUGCCAUGUGCCAGCGGUGACAACAGUUUAUACAGAACUGACAUUAUUCAAAGAAAAAUCACCUUCACGCCUGAAUCUGCCCGAUAUUCUCCUGUGGGAUUAUUCAUAAAACUCUUUCUCCUAUAAAAACACAUUCUGUUUUAAAUUUGAUUUCAUUCAUGCUUUCGGCAGAUGAUCACCCUUACGAAAAUUAACUCUGGUUUUAUUAAAACCAAAAAACCAUGGUUAGUGUAGUAAAACCAUGGUUUUGCUGAUGGCAAUCAACACACCAAAAAAACAUGCUUACUACACUUUUAAAAUCAGUGUUUAUUUUAAUAAAGGCAUAUCCAAAGCAACUUUUAGGUCAUAUUGUAGCCUAUGUUGUGUGUAUAAUACAUGCAUUUUAUCUGCAUAAUUAAAAUUAAGCAUUUGUGUUAUAGUCAGACAUCCCAGCUGUACCUGAGGUAAAAUAUUAAAAACCAUUUAUUCGAGAUUUGUGCAGACUCAUUUUAUUAUUAUUUUGAUCGAUGGUCUUGUAAAAUCCUCCAUGAAUUGUGUUUAACAGCAAGAACUUGCACAGGCACAAAAGGAAAUCUAUAAAAGUUAUUACAAUCAUUUAUCAAUCAUCAUGUACGCAUACACAUUAAGACAAUAAACUCAUAAACAAUGUGCCAUUUUCUAAUAAAAAACGACAUUUCAUAAUGUUUCCUGACUGGAACUAGCAAAUUAACAGCUUGUUUCCUUUAAAAUAAAACAAUUCACAGCGGACAAUAACAUCAAAAAUCAUCUAUUUUACUUUAUUUAGGCCUUCAGUUUACCUCAAACGUUCAUUUAUUUUAUUUUGUCUCUCAUUUAAAUGU